GCCCAGUAUAUUCACAGCCCGAUAUCUGCUCAAGUUCACCAGAAUGCUCAUGGGACCUGUAAUUACAGUGACUCAUCCCUAAAAAAGUUAUUGUGAGUAGUCACUGUUCCUACGAUAAUGCAAUGGUUUUGCUUAUAAAAUUUCCCUGAAGUUAAACCAACUUAGAGGUGGUGAGUUUGGAUGCAGAAAUUAUUACAUCAGGAGAAAUGCUUCCAAAAUGAAAUGCUUGAUAUAAUAAAAGAAGAGCAAUGCUAUCCAUAUGACUAUGAUGUGAACUUAAUCAAGAGGAUAAAAGUCUCCAAAUUGUAAUUACAGAUGAAUUACUCCACGGCUUGCGAUUUUCAAGAGGAAUCUUGUUUCUAAAUCUUGACACAGUGGGACCAAAGAAACCUAUCUGUUUCUAUUACUGGGAAAAAAGUGAAUCUCAAAAUGAAAAACAAUCUGCGGCUUCAAAGAGAGAGAGCUGACAGCAAAAUAUUUGAAUUAAUUAGAGAACUACAGGUUGUUCAUUGACGGGUUCUUUUUGCAGGCAUAUUCUGAAACAUCUGUGCUUGUUUCCACGGAGAUGUGGUUGGUUUAUUUUGUUGUUAAUAUACCAUAUGAGCAUGAAGGAAAUUAGAGGAAGCUACCUGAUGGAAAACUAAAUUUAGACAUUUCCAGACAGUCUGAGAGAAGUUACAACCUCCUGGGCCAGGCAGAGGAUAGUUCAAUUCCUUGAUGAACUAUGCCAAGUUAAAUGAACAUCAGCUAUUUUUAGAACACUGACAGCCUUCUUAGACAUGACACCAAAGAAUAUUAGUUUUGAGGUCCACUGGACGGCAUGCUCAGGUCUGAAGAGUUCCAAAAAAUAAAAAUAAAUUCACCCAUUUCUAAAUUUUAAAAAAUAAUAAUGAUUUUCCUAAAGGGGCCAGCUCUGACUCUAAACACCUUCUUUGAAAGGCUCAAGUGUCCAAGGGUUGGUUUUCUUGUAUAGGAUUUCUACUGUUUCUCUCAAGGCCAUGUUCUCUGUUAUUGUUCUCAUAUUUUCCCCUACAGCAGAGAGGUCCUUAUGUACCAUGGGUUAAUAUUUUUUUCCUAAAUUUAUUUUAGGGUGGAAAAGAGAAAUAAAGAACUCUAACUGCUUCUAAUUUGCUUUUGUUUCAUCUUCUUUCUUCCUGUUGCAAUCUCUCUUUUCACUAACUCUACCUCGUUAAGCUUUGUCCAUUUGGUAGUUCUAUUUUUAAUUUUCCAAAAAUCAUCCAUACUGUUUUCUGAAAGUUCUGUACCAAUUUACAUUUCCACCAACAGAGUACAAGGGUUCCCUUUUCUCCACACCAUUGCCAACACUUACCUUUUGGCUUUUUGAUAGUAGCCAUUCUAACAGGCAUGAGGUGAUAUGUCAUUGUGAUUUUGAUUUACAUUUCCCUAAUGAUUGAUGAUAUUCAUCAUCUUUUCAUGUAUCUGUUGGCUAUUUUUGGUCUUCUUUGUGAAAAUGUCUAUUCAUGUCCUUUGCCCAUUUUUAACUUGAGUUAUUUGGGGUGUUUUUUGUUUAUUUUUGUUACUUGUUUUUGCAAUUAAGUUUUAUGAGUUGCUUAUAUAUUUGGGAUAUUAACACCUUACUGGAUAUAUGGUUUACAAAUAUUUUCUUUUUUCUGUAGGUUGCCUUUUUGUUUCUUCAUUGUUUCAUUUGCUGUACAGAAGUUUUUAGUUUGAUGUAGUCCUGUUUAUUUUUGCUUUUAUUUUCUGUACUUUUGAGAUCAAAUCUAAAAAAUCAUUGCCAAGACCAAUGUCAAAGAGCUUUUCCUUCAUGUUUUCUUCUGGGAGUGUCAUGGUUUCAGGUCUUACAUGUAAGUCUUUAAACCAUUUUGAAUUCAUUUCUGUGUAUGAUAUAAGAGAAAGAUCUGAUUUUAAGGUUUGCUUGUCAAUAUCAAGUUUUUCCAACACCAUUUAUUAAAGAGUCUAUACUUUCCUCCAUUGUAUAUUAUUGGAACCUUUGUCAAAAAUUAGUUGAGCAUAUAUGAACGGGUUUGUUCUGGGCUAUUAGGUUCCACUAGUCUAUGUCAAGGCAGCCAAGAUCUUUUUCCUUCACAACAUUCAGAGUUGAAGGGAAUGAAACAUUAAGUCCUGUCAUUUGGCAUGUUCAUUUAAAUUUCAACGUAUUUCAGAAUUUCAUAGUCUCAUCGUUGGGCUAUCAAGCCUACAUCCCCAUAACAUCAUUUAUUUAUAUCAUUAGCCCAUAUAAAUCUGCUGUUCCAAGCAGAACACAUUGUUAGUUCUAGAAUUUUCCAUGAGAUGGGCAGGUACCUACAGAUGCUAGACACUUUUGGGUUGUUUUACAUCUAAUUAGCAACAGAAUUAUGACACCAAAUUAAUUUCAGGAACUGCUCUUGAAAUGCCAAUAUACAUAAGGUUUUAAGAAUUUGAUACUGUGCAAGUUAGAGAAACAGAUGGAACUUUCUGAACAAUAGAAUUCGUCUCCAAGUGACAUUUAAUAUAAAGCAAUACCUGAAUUAUAAAUGGCUUUAAAGUUAUUAUCUUUGAAUUGUUUUCCUUUCAAACACCUACCACGCAGGUGAAAGAAAAAAAAGUGUGUGUGUGUAUGUGUAGUGUUAGUCUACAUAUAUAUAUAUAUAUAGAGAGAGAGAGAGAGAGAGAGAGUGUAUAUGCGUGUAUGUGUAUAUAUAUAUACACGGAGAGAGAGAGAGAGAGAUUAAAUUCUGAAAUGCUAUGUACUAAUAAAAAUUUGGAGAAGAUUUUCUUGAAGGGUCAUAAUGGCACAAUUCCAUAAAUAGAGCAGAAGACUGAAUAUACGGGAAGGAAAUUUCGUUGUGUCCUAGUUUGUCCUCUCGCUGGAUAUAAAAUAUUUAUUUUUAAUGAAUAAUGAUAUUAUUUUCCAAAUACAUAUUAGCUAAGCCAAAAAAUAAAACAACACAGAAAAGUGACAUAUUUAGCACUUACAAUAAGCUAGGGACAAUGAUAGCACUUUAUAUUAAUGGACAUGUUCGGUUUUUGAAUAAUUCUAUGAGAUGUAUAUUAUCUUUAUUCUCACUUUCUAAUGAGGAAACUGAAACAGCAUGUGUAGCAACUUGCGUAAGAAGCUAUAAAUGGUAGGUAGUGUGUUCAUUAUUUUAAACUCAUCUCCAGGGUCUACACCAUAAACCACAAAAUUCCACAACCUCUUGUGUAAAGGAAGAAAGAGUAGUCAGAAAUUUAAAUCAAGCUAUCCUUGUUAUUUUUACUUUACAGAGCAUACAUUUAAUUGUAUUUAACAGAAGAAUAAUGAAUUGCAGAAAAAGUGAAGGAAUUAUUAAAAUUAAGAUAUCUCUUUCUUCAACAAAGGGAUAGUAAUUGUUCCUGAAAUUGUCCCCAAAAUUAAAGUAGUGGGAGUUCAUAACAGCAUUAAGAAGCUGGACAUGUGUUUAUUAUUUUAGUAUACAUCAAUUGGCUUCUUGUUUUGAAGGCAGAGGAAACAAAAAGCUUUACUACUUCUGCUCUUUAUCUUGAUUAUUGUUAUUAUUUUUGGGCUUUAUAACAUGUAAAUUCUGUUCUGUAAUCAUAAUAUCCCAAGUGAUUUAAUCAUAAUGUUAUAUUUUAAAGUGAUGAAUGCUCAUUCCCACUUUGUUUACUUCAUCUUUUCUGUUCUUAAUUGCUUACUUUGAUGCAAGUCUUUCAACUGGAAUUUGACAAACAGCAGUGAUUUUUUUGUUUUUUUUUGUGAGGGGGAUGAUCGUUUCUCAAGGGCUCUCAUGUUUAUUUCUUGAAUUCAUGCAUGCUUGUGAAUCUGUUCUUUGUGUUUAUACUUGAAUAAAACCUUGGCUAGGUAUAAAGUUCUUAGCUGUAAAAUCAACCCCCCAUAUCUGCAGCUUCCACAUAUGCAGACUUACCCGUGGAUCACAAAUAUUCAAAAUAACAACAAUACAACAAUAAAACACAAAAAUACAAUAUAACAACUAUUUGCAUAGCAUUUACAUUGUACUAGGUAUUAUAAGUAAUCUAGAUGACUUAAAAUAUAUGGGAGGAUGUGCAUACGCUUUAUGCAAAUACAAUGCCAUUUUAUAUGGGACUUGAGUAUCCUCAUAUUUUGGUGUCCACGGAGGUCCUGGAAUCAAUCCCCUGUGGAAACCAAGGAAUGACUAUUCUUUCCUCUUAGCCUUCUGCCCACAAAACUGUCAAAUUUUGUUUUUUAAACAUUAACUCAUGUUCUUCCAGCACUGAAUGUGGAGAGCGCUGAAAUCAAUGUUUCCUUUUUUUUUUUUUUUUUAAUAGGUGAUUUACUUUUCAGGCCACAUGCUUAGACAAUUUUUUUCUUCAUUCUUGAAUUUCAGAAUAUGUUUCAUUGUUGACCAUUCUGUUUCAACACUGUUUCUCCCAGACAUUGUGCAUUUUCAAUUUGUAUUUUAACAAAUUUAUUUUAGGAAAGUUUUCU
rnacentral:lncRNA from 10 species